rnacentral:rRNA from 1 species
GCCCAAAAUCUAGCCUAAAAUCAUUAUAUGUCAACACCAUAAAAAAUUAUCUACAUAAAACAUUUUAACUUUCUAGUAGAGGUGAUCAAAAAAUAACUCAGCGCUUAAGAAAUAGUACCGCAAGGGAAAAAUGAAAUAAAAAUGAAAUAAAUUAAAGCCCAUAACAGCAGAGAUCAAAACUCGUACC